CACAAAAAUAGAUAAUAUUACAAAAAUAGUGAAACUAGAAACCAAGGGAAUGAGCUUGGCAGAAUCAAUGGGGAAAGAAGACCCUGUUGAGCUUGAAUCUAGUUCGACUUUUUGAAAUGACUUGAGAGGUGUAGAAUAAGUGGGAGACAUUUUCUCCGCAAGUGAAAUACCACUACUUUUAACGUUAUCUUACUUAUUUCAUGCGACGAAGACCCUGCUUUUGGCCUUAAGACAUGUUUCAACGGGUCGAUAUGGGCAAAAGACAUUGUCAGGUGACGUGUUUGGCUGGGGUGGCACAUCUGUUAAAAUAUAAUGCAGGUGUCCUAAGAUGAUCUCAACGAGAAACAAAAUCUCAUGUGGAACAAAAGAGUAAAAUCUCAUUUGAUUUUUAUUUUCAGUACGAAUACAAACCAUGAAAGCGUGACCUAUCGAUCCUUUAGACUUUCAUAAUUUGAAGCUAGACGUGUUAGAAAAAUUACCACAGGGAUAAUUGGCUUGUGGUAGCUAAGAGUUCAUAGCAAUGUUUCUUUUUUAUCCUUCGAUGUUGGCUCUUCCUAUCAUUGUGAAGAAGAAUUCACCAAGUGUCGGAUUGUUCACCAAUCAAUAGGGAACGUGAGUUGGGUUUAGAUCGUCGUGAGAUAGGUUAUUUUUACCCUACUGAUGAACCGCGUCACAAUAGUAAUUUAACUUAGUAUGAGAGAAAUAAUCCAUUCACACAAUUUCUCAUCGUGUUUGGUUGAAAAUCCAAUGGCGCGAUGAAACACACGAAGAGCCGUAACGAAAGAAACCACACAAGGGAGCACUAGGAAAAAAGACGAUUCGGA
rfam:Picea glauca, whole genome shotgun sequence.